rnacentral:rRNA from 1 species
UACGGGGGGGGCAAGCGUUGUUCGGAAUUACUGGGCGUAAAGGGCUCGUAGGUGGCCAACUAAGUCGGACGUGAAAUCCCUCGGCUUAACCGGGGAACUGCGUCCGAUACUGGCAGGCUUGAAUUCGGGAGAGGGAUGCGGAAUUCCAGGUGUAGCGGUGAAAUGCGUAGAUAUCUGGAGGAACACCGGUGGCGAAGGCGGCAUCCUGGACCGAGAUUGACGCUGAGGCGCGAAAGCCAGGGGAGCAAACGGG